rnacentral:rRNA from 1 species
GAUGAACGCUGGCGGCGUGCCUAAUACAUGCAAGUCGAGCGAACAGACGAGGAGCUUGCUCCUCUGACGUUAGCGGCGGACGGGUGAGUAACACGUGGAUAACCUACCUAUAAGACUGGGAUAACUUCGGGAAACCGGAGCUAAUACCGGAUAAUAUAUUGAACCGCAUGGUUCAAUAGUGAAAGACGGGUUUGCUGUCACUUAUAGAUGGAUCCGCGCCGCAUUAGCUAGUUAGUAAGGUAACGGCUUACCAAGGCGACGAUGCGUAGCCGACCUGAGAGGGUGAUCGGCCACACUGGAACUGAGACACGGUCCAGACUCCUACGGGAGGCAGCAGUAGGGAAUCUUCCGCAAUGGGCGAAAGCCUGACGGAGCAACGCCGCGUGAGUGAUGAAGGUCUUCGGAUCGUAAAACUCUGUUAUUAGGGAAGAACAAAUGUGUAAGUAACUAUGCACGUCUUGACGGUACCUAAUCAGAAAGCCACGGCUAACUACGUG